CGAGGGGCAGCGGGGAGGUAGCAAUACUUCCGCCGGCGACCGGCGCACGGGUGAGUAACACGUAUGGAACCUGCCCGUAGCAGGGGGAUAAGCGGAAGAAAUUCCGUCUAAUACCGCGUAAUAAUUCCGAGAGGCAUCUCAUGGGGUUUAAAGGGUAAUACCGGCUACGGAUGGCCAUGCGGCGCAUUAGCUAGUUGGCGGGGUAACGGCCCACCAAGGCGACGAUGCGUAGGGGUUCUGAGAGGAAGGUCCCCCACACUGGUACUGAGACACGGACCAGACUCCUACGGGAGGCAGCAGUGAGGAAUAUUGGUCAAUGGGCGCGAGCCUGAACCAGCCAAGUCGCGUGAGGGAAGACGGUCCUAUGGAUUGUAAACCUCUUUUGUCGGGGAGCAAAAGACGUCACGUGUGGCGUUCCGAGAGUACCCGAAGAAAAAGCAUCGGCUAACUCCGUGCCAGCAGCCGCGGUAAUACGGAGGAUGCGAGCGUUAUCCGGAUUUAUUGGGUUUAAAGGGUGCGCAGGCGGAAGAUCAAGUCAGCGGUAAAAUUGAGAGGCUCAACCUCUUCGAGCCGUUGAAACUGGUUUUCUUGAGUGAGCGAGAAGUAUGCGGAAUGCGU
rnacentral:rRNA from 1 species